UGUAAUAGAGAUAUGUAAAUUUUAUUUUCCUCCGAAUGAUAUUUAAUGUAAAUUAUUCGGGAUCUAAUUGCCGGCUAAUUCAUUCGAGGCUCAGCCUUCGCUUUUAACACAAAGUUAAUACUGGUCGUACUGAUAUGGUUUGCAAAUGAGUGUUUUUCUUAGCAUAUUUACAUUGGCAUUGUAAAUUAAAGUAUACACAAGUCACGAAGUGGUUUCCUUUUUCAGACGGCACCUCUUCAGGAAACGGGCAUUGAUCAUUUUCAUCCUGUAUAAAAUAUUAAUACAAUUGCAUGACACCGGUUUUUCUCAUACUUCAUUACAAUUGCUAAUGCGAAAUCUGAAUUGCACUGACAAAUUUUGCAUAAUACUGAAAGCUAGCGCCACAAACUAUCUUUUUCCAGUAGGCGAUCGGCCGUCGACAGUUGAACAUUAUAAAGAUUUUAUUUCUCUAAAUGGAUAUUUACAUAAUUUUACUUUUCAUAGUUAUACAUUUACAUAGAACGGAAUGUUAUUUGUUAUUCAGCUCAUUACUAUGUGGUAUCACGUCUCUCAAAUGAACAAUCAGGAUUCACACAACACUUCGGACAUGAUUUAAAUGUUGUGUCCAGUUGGUCAAAGUUUUAAGAUGCGUUAACACGGAUAAGAUGACCCAGUACCUGUCUUCUACCCGUUCUGCUACAUUACAUCAAUUUAUCAAGAAUUCGAAAUGGAAUCUAAAUAUGCAAGAAGUAAAAACACCUAACCUACAGCUAUAUGCACACACAACACAUUCAGUGGAAGGUAUGAUGCUUCACUAUAAGACAACUUAAACGUGGAAUUAUGGUGUUUUCCUGGCGAUUUGGUAUGAAUACUGAUGAGAAGCGGUCACUCCAACGCGCACCUGUUGACAGAAUAGUCAUCAAUACAUGUGGAAUAACAGCCUUAACGUGCAGGAAUAUUCCUUCCUGUUGUAUAUUAAAUGCAAAACUAUCAAUGACAUUGGAGAAACUUACUCGUACAAAGUUAGACAGACUUAGAUAGUAUGAAGGCGGAGAGUGACUCAGGGAACAUAGUGCAAAAUUAAAUCAUUGUGGCUAAUCAAUGUUUGUAAACUCAAUUUGUAUUAAAGAGCCCUACUGACGUUGAUUCUAUGUUUCCGGCGGCCAUAUUAGUAAGUGGGGCGUCGACAAAGAUGAUUACAGUAAUAAUUAAGUUUAUCGUCACACGAAGGACUCACUUAGAGACUGUAUGAAGGAGAACCUUAAACAGAAGAUUUCAACAACAGUCUAAAACAACUGGCACCACCAUAUUAGUGUUCACUAGACCCACACGAAGAAUGGAAAUCUAAACAUAGAUAUUACAGAUGGGGAAAUGUGGACAUCGUAAAAAGAUUACUUAUUUCAGACAUAAGUGACUAAAUACUGUAUCAAAUGUUAUAAAGUCUGAUAAUCUGUUAGACAAGCUUUUGCAGAUGAUCUUUUGACGAAAGUGUCAGUAAAAAUCACAGACAUCUACAAAAACACCGAUUGCUAAAACAUGAAGAUAAUUACCACCUUUGUAUUCCAUGUCAGAAAUAUAAAUAAAAAAAAUAAUAAUAAUUUUGUUUUUGUUGACUGUUGGUUUAAAAAAAUGUAUACCUUUUACUAUGUUCAUAUCUACACUAUGGACGACUGAGAUGUGAAUAUUAUGGUAAAGGAACAUUUAUUCAUAUGAUAUAUCUGCUUUAUG